GCACCGCACUGCAUGCGAAACAUCCGUGAUGGACAGGCACUUUCUUCUGAGUGGAGGACUGGGAGAGAAGUCAGACGUGGGCUCCCAAGGCAGCAUGGAACUCUGUAAGGACCUGGACCGGCUGUUGAGACUUAGGCUGCUCCUCCGGAUCCAAGGCCCAGCAACAGACCAUCACAGAGAACAGUUCAUCAGGGCAGUUGAUUGGCUGCAAUAUUCCAUAACCAUCUUUCAGAUUGGCAUUGUUCAAAUGUGAAGUUGCUAUUUAAGCUUGAAGGUGCAUCCUAUGGGCCAAAUUCAAGAGCAACCCACAGUAUAUGUUCCAAAUGGGCUCACUGAUCCUGCUUGCUUCUCCCCAGGGCUCCAGACUCAGGCUGACAUUCCUACUAUGCAUUUCCAUGAUGAUCUAUACAGCACCAUGCUCAUCUGUGUCUCUUCUGUUCAAACCAUUCCAGAGGUUGGAUUUCCCUACAGUAUCAGAAUCAGAAUGCUUGGUUUGAUUGCAAGAGUAUUUAUAAGCUACCUAUACGCUGGC
rnacentral:lncRNA from 1 species